ACAAUUUGGGGUCAGGAUGAAGAAGACCUACAGAAGUUCCUGAACCACCUAAACAGCAUCCACCCCAAUAUACAAUUCACCAUGGAAAAAGAAGUGGAUGGCCAA